rnacentral:rRNA from 1 species
CGGACGGGUGAGUAACACGUGGAUAACCUACCUAUAAGACUGGGAUAACUUCGGGAAACCGGAGACUAAUACCGGAUAAUAUUUUGAACCGCAUGGUUCAAAAGUGAAAGACGGUCUUGCUGUCACUUAUAGAUGGAUCCGCGCUGCAUUAGCUAGUCGGUAAGGUAACGGCUUACCAAGGCAACGAUGCAUAGCCGACCUGAGAGGGUGAUCGGCCACACUGGAACUGAGACACGGUCCAG